rnacentral:rRNA from 1 species
AACGACUCUCGGCAACGGAUAUCUCGGCUCACGCAUCGAUGAAGAACGUAGCAAAAUGCGAUACUUGGUGUGAAUUGCAGAAUCCCGUGAACCAUCGAGUUUUUGAACGCAAGUUGCGCCCGAAGCCAUUYGGCUGAGGGCACGUCUGCCUGGGCGUCACGCAU